AGUGUGACGAAGAAGGCCGUUAAUAAUUCAACUACUUAAAGAAUACGGGUUAGAUAUGGACAACGACUUCGAAGACAUUUGCAGUAGGCUAAACAGAGAAAGAGAGGGAGACCCAAAACUACCUGUCCUGGCAUCACAUUUGAGGAGAAGAAGUCGAUGAAUAUGACCUAGCCCGGGGGAGUUUCCAGAAGAAGGCCCAGAACCACCGGCCGCCAGGAGUGGAGGUCCUUUGUUGUUGCUCUACAUGUCAGGAGGCAUCGGGCAGUAGGUAAGACUAACCCUGGUAGAAGCACCAUCUUGAUACUAUCAUUCAAACUCUCAUCAGCUGUAUCAUUAUAGGUGGACUAAAAGAACAAUAUUCAUGCAGAUAUAAUGAUGCCUUAAGUUGGAAUGGAAGGUGUCCUGAAUCUGCACCCAUUCAUCUGGUUUCGUAACUCCUUUCAUAGUGCUAUUGGAACCUGCUCCCUACCAGUAUAACAUCAAACAGAUUGGAAGAAUAAAGGCCGAUGGGAAGUGCCUUUUAUAUUUCUACUUGCCACAAAGCAGUCCAUAUGGUUUAGCGCAAUCUAAACUGGACUAUUGUAAUGCUCUUCGUGCUUGAAUUAGGGCGAUCUGGACUGACUGCAGAUAGUACAGAAUGCUGCAUCUAUUGUGCCAUUUGCCAUACGCCAACUUCGCUGGCUGCAAGUCAAGGAAAGGAUAUACAUGAACAUCAGUGUCCGUCUCCUGAUUUUCAAAGUCAAUGACAGAGAUCCAGAUUACAUGUAUUAUAAGGAAUCCCUUGUGCGUCAUUUCCAUUCUAGGCGCACUUGCCUUUUUAUUUUUGUGAUCAUUACGCACCUACAAAUUAGCUACUGGUGAUGCAACUUUCUCCACUACUGCUCCAAGGCCAUGGAAUUAGCUCCUUCCUCUCCUCCAGUUGUCAACAACCUUGGAUCAAUCCAAAUACAAUUUGAGAAGACCUACCAUAUUCCUGAUCUUUGCUCUGUACUUACAACAAUACUGUCACUGCCUGGUAAUUUGAAUUUUUUUAAAUCUCAUGUGCUGACUAGGAUGGCGUCUCAAUUCAUCCAAAUUAGACAAGGGAUAAUAAAGUAAUGUAUGACAUUCUAACCUCUGCAUUAUUUUGGUGAAAGAGCUCUAAGCAUAUGCAAGUAGCAAGCUGAUGAUGUCAUACUGACGUACAUUGUACAUGUACACGUAUGUUAAGGUCUUAAAGAGG